AGCGUAAUAGCUCACUGGUCGAGUCGGCCUGCGCGGAAGAUGUAACGGGGCUAAACCAUGCACCGAAGCUGCGGCAGCGACACUGUGUGUUGUUGGGUAGGGGAGCGUUCUGUAAGCCUGUGAAGGUGUGCUGUGAGGCAUGCUGGAGGUAUCAGAAGUGCGAAUGCUGACAUAAGUAACGAUAAAGCGGGUGAAAAGCCCGCUCGCCGGAAGACCAAGGGUUCCUGUCCAACGUUAAUCGGGGCAGGGUGAGUCGACCCCUAAGGCGAGGCCGAAAGGCGUAGUCGAUGGGAAACAGGUUAAUAUUCCUGUACUUGGUGUUACUGCGAAGGGGGGACGGAGAAGGCUAUGUUGGCCGGGCGACGGUUGUCCCGGUUUAAGCGUGUAGGCUGGUUUUCCAGGCAAAUCCGGAAAAUCAAGGCUGAGGCGUGAUGACGAGGCACUACGGUGCUGAAGCAACAAAUGCCCUGCUUCCAGGAAAAGCCUCUAAGCAUCAGGUAACAUCAAAUCGUACCCCAAACCGACACAGGUGGUCAGGUAGAGAAUACCAAGGCGCUUGAGAGAACUCGGGUGAAGGAACUAGGCAAAAUGGUGCCGUAACUUCGGGAGAAGGCACGCUGAUAUGUAGGUGAAGUCCCUCGCGGAUGGAGCUGAAAUCAGUCGAAGAUACCAGCUGGCUGCAACUGUUUAUUAAAAACACAGCACUGUGCAAACACGAAAGUGGACGUAUACGGUGUGACGCCUGCCCGGUGCCGGAAGGUUAAUUGAUGGGGUCAGCGCAAGCGAAGCUCUUGAUCGAAGCCCCGGUAAACGGCGGCCGUAACUAUAACGGUCCUAAGGUAGCGAAAUUCCUUGUCGGGUAAGUUCCGACCUGCACGAAUGGCGUAAUGAUGGCCAGGCUGUCUCCACCCGAGACUCAGUGAAAUUGAACUCGCUGUGAAGAUGCAGUGUACCCGCGGCAAGACGGAAAGACCCCGUGAACCUUUACUAUAGCUUGACACUGAACAUUGAGCCUUGAUGUGUAGGAUAGGUGGGAGGCUUUGAAGUGUGGACGCCAGUCUGCAUGGAGCCGACCUUGAAAUACCACCCUUUAAUGUUUGAUGUUCUAACGUGGACCCGUGAUCCGGGUUGCGGACAGUGUCUGGUGGGUAGUUUGACUGGGGCGGUCUCCUCCUAAAGAGUAACGGAGGAGCACGAAGGUUGGCUAAUCCUGGUCGGACAUCAGGAGGUUAGUGCAAUGGCAUAAGCCAGCUUGACUGCGAGCGUGACGGCGCGAGCAGGUGCGAAAGCAGGUCAUAGUGAUCCGGUGGUUCUGAAUGGAAGGGCCAUCGCUCAACGGAUAAAAGGUACUCCGGGGAUAACAGGCUGAUACCGCCCAAGAGUUCAUAUCGACGGCGGUGUUUGGCACCUCGAUGUCGGCUCAUCACAUCCUGGGGCUGAAGUAGGUCCCAAGGGUAUGGCUGUUCGCCAUUUAAAGUGGUACGCGAGCUGGGUUUAGAACGUCGUGAGACAGUUCGGUCCCUAUCUGCCGUGGGCGCUGGAGAACUGAGGGGGGCUGCUCCUAGUACGAGAGGACCGGAGUGGACGCAUCACUGGUGUUCGGGUUGUCAUGCCAAUGGCACUGCCCGGUAGCUAAAUGCGGAAGAGAUAAGUGCUGAAAGCAUCUAAGCACGAAACUUGCCCCGAGAUGAGUUCUCCCUGACCCUUUAAGGGUCCUGAAGGAACGUUGAAGACGACGACGUUGAUAGGCCGGGUGUGUAAGCGCAGCGAUGCGUUGAGCUAACCGGUACUAAUGAACCGUGAGGCUUAACCUUACAACGCCGAAGGUGUUU
rnacentral:rRNA from 1 species